AGGUCAAAGGUCAAGGUCACAGUGACCGAAAUAGUAAAAUGGUUUCCGGAUGAUAACUCAAGAACGCUUAGGCCUAGGAUCAUGAAACUUGAUAGGUAGAUUGAUCAUGACUCGCAGAUGACCCCUAUUGAUUUUGAGGUCACUAGGUCAAAGGUCAAGGUCACAGUGACCCAAAAUAGUAAAAUGGUUUCCGGAUGAUAACUCAAGAAUGCUUAGGCCUUGGAUCAUGAAACUUGAUAGGUAGAUUGAUCAGGACUCGCAGAUGACCCCUAUUGAUUUUGAGGUCACUAGGUCAAAGGUCAAGGUCACAGUGACCCGAAAUAGUAAAAUGGUUUCCGGAUGAUAACUCAAGAACGCUUAGGCCUAGGAUCAUGAAACUUGAUAGGUAGAUUGAUCAUGACUCGCAGAUGACCCCUAUUGAUUUUCAGGUCACUAGGUCAAAGGUCAAGGUUACGAUGACCCGAAAUAGUAAAAUGGUUUCCGGAUGAUAACUGAAGAACGCUUAUUCCUAGGAUCAUGAAACUUGAUAGGUAGAAUGAUCAUGACUCGCAGAUGACCCCUAUUGAUUUUCAGGUCACUAGGUCAAAGGUCAAGGUCACGGUGACCCGAAAUAGUAAAAUGGUGUCCGGAUAUUAACUCAAGAAUGCUUAUGGCUAGGAUCAUGAAACUUCAUAGGUACAUUGAUCAUGACUGGCAGAUGACCCCUAUUGAUUUUCAGGUCACUAGGUCAAAGGUCAAGGUCACAGUGACAAAAAACAUAUUCACACAAUGGCUCUCACUACAACGGAGAGCCCAUAUGGGGGGUAUGCAUGUUUUACAAACAGC